UGGGGGUGGCGGGAUCCUGGGCUGUGUCCUGGUUCCCUGUGCUCCCGGGCCUGUGCUGUUGGAUUCGCGCCCCGCCCCGCAGCCCCCU
rfam:Canis lupus familiaris chromosome 4, whole genome shotgun sequence.